rnacentral:rRNA from 1 species
GGCGGACGGGUGAGUAACGCGUGAGAAUCUGCCUUCAGGUUCGGGACAACCACUGGAAACGGUGGCUAAUACCGAAUAUGCCCAAGGGUGAAAGAUUAAUUGCCUGGAGAUGAGCUCGCGUCUGAUUAGCUAGUUGGUAGGGUAAGGGCCUACCAAGGCACCGAUCAGUAACUGGUCUGAGAGGAUGACCAGUCACACUGGGACUGAGACACGGCCCAGACUCCUACGGGAGGCAGCAGUGGGGAAUUUUCCGCAAUGGGCGAAAGCCUGACGGAGCAAUACCGCGUGAGGGAGGAAGGCUCUUGGGUUGUAAACCUCUUUUCUCAGGGAAGAAACCUGACGGUACCUGAGGAAUAAGCAUCGGCUAACUCCGUGCCAGCAGCCGCGGUAAUACGGAGGAUGCAAGCGUUAUCCGGAAUGAUUGGGCGUAAAGCGUCCGCAGGUGGCAUUUCAAGUCUGCUGUUAAAUACUGGGGCUUAACCCUGGAAAGGCGGUGGAAACUGAGAAGCUAGAGUGCGGUGGGGGCAGAGGGAAUUCCUGGUGUAGCGGUGAAAUGCGUAGAGCUCAGGAAGAACACCGGUGGCGAAAGCGCUCUGCUAGGCCGUAACUGACACUCAUGGACGAAAGCUAGGGGAGCGAAUGGGAUUAG